GGGGGCGUACUGGCUUCGACGUGGUAUGUCGAUGUUAGAGAGCAUGUCGAGCGUUGUCUGUGUGCUCGUUAACUAAACGGUCAAACAAUAAGUGCAAACACUAAUAUGGAUGCACAACGUCUCGUUGCAGUUGCAUAAACUGAUCUGAGAUGUUCUUGUUGAUUGAUGUGUCUAUCUAUUAGUCAACUCGAAUUAUAUUGAUAGAACUGUUCUGUUAGGUUUUUUCGUUUCGUAUCAGGGCAGUAUACCUAAACGGACCUCUAUUUUUUCCGUGUCUUUGCGGUGGAAUAGAGGUAUAAGCAAAGACUAAACAUGUAGCGCUUUAAUGUUGUUGUAUUGCGGACAUGGGUUCGAUUCCCAUCGCCUCCACCA
rnacentral:tmRNA from 2 species